GACGAACGCUGGCGGCGUGCUUAACACAUGCAAGUCGAACGGAAAGGCCCUGCUUUUGUGGGGUGCUCGAGUGGCGAACGGGUGAGUAACACGUGAGUAACCUGCCCUUGACUUUGGGAUAACUUCAGGAAACUGGGGCUAAUACCGGAUAGGAGCUCCUGCUGCAUGGUGGGGGUUGGAAAGUUUCGGCGGUUGGGGCUGGACUCGCGGCUUAUCAGCUUGUUUGUGGGGUAGUGGCUUACCAAGGCUUUGACGGGUAGCCGGGCUGAGAGGGUGACCGGCCACAUUGGGACUGAGAUACGGCCCAGACUCCUACGGGAGGCAGCGGUGGGGAAUAUUGCACAAUGGGCGGAAGCCUGAUGCAGCAACGCCGCGUGCGGGAUGACGGCCUUCGGGUUGUAAACCGCUUUCGCCUGUGACGAAGCGUGAGUGACGGUAAUGGGUAAAGAAGCACCGGCUAACUACGUG
rnacentral:rRNA from 1 species